rnacentral:tRNA from 1 species
GGGCCCAUAGCUCAGUUGGCUAGAGCGCACGGCUGAUAACCGUGAGGUCACAGGUUCAAAUCCUGUUGGGCCCACCA